AGAUUAGUUACAGGGGCUAUGAAAUCAAGCCCAAUAAGUUGCUUGCAAGUAGAAUGUUGUGAUCCACCUCUUGCCUUUAGAAGACAGUUUCUAUGUGACAAAUUCUUUUUCCGUUCCGUGCAACUAUAUUCUCAUCCACUACUUCCAAAAGUAAAGCAAUUAGCUGAACUGGUUGAAACAGGUAACUAUUGGACCCAUAAGGAUUCUCCUUGUGUUGUUAAGAGUUAUAAAAAAUACAAAAGUCUAGAAGCACCGACUUAUAGAAGUGAGACUCUUCCUUUAUAUCAACAAUCAUACAACAGUCUCAUUACUAAUCCAGAUAUUAGAUUUAACAUCGGUAUAUCUAAACACGAUAUAAAUCCAAAAAUAGAUUUUUUGAACAUUCUUAACAAUGACUGGAGUAAUUGGCACUGUUUGUACACAGAUGCCUCUAAACAUGGUGAUAGAAGUUGCGUUGGUGUUGGAGUCUUUCAUUCACAAUACAAAGGAUUACAACUUAUUAAACUGCCACCUGAAAGUUCUGUCUACACUGGUGAAUGUUAUGGUUUACUUAAAGCUAUAGAAUAUGUACUUAUGUUGAAGAUACCUAAAACAAUAAUUUUUUCAGACUCCCGUAGUGCUUUAGAAGCAAUAAUGAGGUUUCCAUUUAAGUCACAUAAACAGUCCCCUGUCGUGUUUAACAUUAGGAGCCUUUUAUACAAAUGUUCCCAAAAGAGUUGUGCUGUCGUGCUGGCUUGGGUGCCAAGCCAUGUGGGUGUCCCUGGGAAUGAGAGAGCUGACCAACUGGCAAAUGAGGCUAUUCACGUGGGAGACAUUGUACCAUAUCAUAACUAUUGUCAUGACUUAAUCAAUUUGUCUAAAGCGUAUUUGUAUGAUAAUUGGAAUGGGAUUUGGAAUAAGGAAACAUCAAAAGGUAAACAUUAUCGGCAUAUUCAGCCGGCAAUUCCAAAGAAACCAUGGUUUACAAGAGUAUCAUUUUCAAAAACUGUGACGUCAACAUUAUGCAGAAUGCGCCUGGGGCAUGUUUGUUCCCCGGCGCAUUUACAUAAAAUAAAUAAAAAGCCGGAUCCUCAUUGCUCUUGUGGCGAAUAUGGGGACCUAAACCAUAUUUUCUUUGCAUGUACUCUUCACGAUCGCUCUGAUUUUCUUUCUAGUCUUGAAUUACUACGCAUCCCAUUUCCCACAUCCAUACUUUGCUUGCUGUGUAAUUAUUCGUAUGAUAUUUAUAAGGCCAUAUCAGUAUUUUUAGAAAAGAACGAUAUAAAAUUGUAGUAUAAAAUGUAUAUAUCAUAUCGAAUCCAAUCCUUUCCUUUCCAAAUUACCGUAAUAUCCGUAUUUCCUAAUUCCUAGUUUCCCUAACUUUAACUCUUUCACUUGUCGUUGGCUAAUGUAACAAAAGCCAGAAAAAAAAAAAAAAAAACUUAUCUGUCAAACUGCGGUCACAUUUACAAACUGAAAAACAUGAGUAAAUAAUAAAAUUAUGAUUAAAAUAAUAAAGUACGGCUUUGUUCCCGUGAAGAGCGACAUUGAGCGCGGUCAGAACAACGUCAAAGGGCUCAAAUUAUUUCAGGCGGGCCACGUUUUAGAUGUGACUGAGAAAAUCAACGUCGACAAAACAUCCAAAAUUAGUGGACGAAUCGUGGCCCAAACGAGGAUUUCAAAUGUUUAUGAAGCCCAAAUUACAGUCUCUUACGCCUAGUCACAGACUACUAAGGAGAUACUACUACGUAUCGCCUCCCGGGUCUCUAAACUCUACGCCUAAUCUAUUCAGGUUUGACAAUUGACAUUAAUGUUGACUUAGAACUUAGAAUACGCUGUACCACUAUUUAUUUGUAAAAAUAUGUAGCUAUGUAUAUAACCAUGAAUUUAUGAAAAUGAAUUGUAACUUUUUGACGUUUAAGCAUCGACUUUUUAUGAAUAAAUGUCUUGUAUCUUGUUUAGGGCUCAUUUACAAGGUGAACUCGCACACAAGAUCCUUUAUUGCGGUAUCUCAUUGGUGCGCUGAAUUUGUAUGUAAUCUCAACAGCGCGCAAUGUAACUGAAAUCGCAUCCGAACCAUUGCGCGAAGUGUAAAUGUGUGAAAUAGUACAUUGCGAUAAAUAAACUCAAACUCAAAAAUAUAGUUUAUUCAUGUAGGCAAGUUCUUAAGAAUAGUUAUAUAUUAAUUAUAUUUAUAUUAUAAUCUUAAUUUUAUAUCUUAAGAAAUUCGAAACGAGUGGCGAUAAAUUAAAACACGAACGUAGAGAGUUGCAAAUUACUUAUUCGCACGUGUAUCGUAUGUACAAUGUGUGGUACAGUACACAUGGUCAUUUCAAUUUCUGACAUAGUUGCAUAGUGCGGUAAUAUAGCGCCAUAUGAUAUGUACCUACUGUAAAACAUACAUACAUACAAUCACGCCUGUAUUCCAUAAAGGGGUAGGCAGAGCACAUUAAACUACUCAAGUUUAUUGUAAAAAUCUUGCAAUUUCUUGCAUGUAGUCAAUUGUGCGUAGUAUAUUAUUAUUGAUUUUCAGGAGCGUCAUGCAAGGACAAUCACGAGUCUCCGUUGCGUGCCGCCGUGCCCGCCUCCUAGAACAUGCGAGAA